GAGUGGCGGGUGCCUAAACAUGCAAGUCGGACGGCAGCAGGUCCUUCGGGAUGCUGGCGAGUGGCAGACGGGUGAGUAAUGCGUAGAGACCUAUCCUUUUGUGGGGGACAACCCAGGGAAACUUGGGCUAAGACCGCAGUAAGCCAGGAGGGGGAAAGCGGGGGAUCUUCGGACCUCGUGCUGAAGGAGGGGCCUACGUCCGAUUAGCUAGUUGGUGGGGUAAAGGCCUACCAAGGCGACGAUCGGUAGCUGGUCUGAGAGGACGACCAGCCACGCUGGGACUGAGACACGGCCCAGACUCCUACGGGAGGCAGCAGGGGGGAAUUUUUCGCAAUGGGGGCAACCCUGACGAAGCAAUGCCGCGUGGAUGAAGAGGGCCUUCAGGGUUGUAAAGUCCUAGCGUGGGGGACGAAAAGGCGGAUCCGAAUACAGUCUGAGAUUGACGUGAACCCAAGAAGAAGCACCGGCUAACUCCGUGCCAGCAGCCGCGGUAAU
rnacentral:rRNA from 1 species